UAGAGGAAGUAAAAGUCGUAACAAGGUUUCCGUAGGUGAACCUGCGGAAGGAUCAUUACAGAGUUCAUGCCCGAAAGGGUAGACCUCCCACCCUUGUGUAUUAUUACUUUGUUGCUUUGGCGAGCUGCUCUUCGGGGCCUUGUAUGCUCGCCAGAGAAUUCAAAACUCUUUUUAUUAAUGUCGUCUGAGUACUAUAUAAUAGUUAAAACUUUCAACAACGGAUCUCUUGGUUCUGGCAUCGAUGAAGAACGCAGCGAAAUGCGAUAAGUAAUGUGAAUUGCAGAAUUCAGUGAAUCAUCGAAUCUUGAACGCACAUUGCGCCCCUUGGUAUUCCGGGGGGCAUGCCUGUUCGAGCGUCAUUUCAACCCUCAAGCUCAGCUUGGUAUUGAGUCCAUGUCAGUAAUGGCAGGCUCUAAAAUCAGUGGCGGCGCCGCUGGGUCCUGAACGUAGUAAUAUCUCUCGUUACAGGUUCUCGGUGUGCUUCUGCCAAAACCCAAAUUUUCUAUGGUUGACCUCGGAUCAGGUAGGGAUACCCGCUGAACUUAAGCAUAUCAAU
rnacentral:rRNA from 1 species